GUCUGGGCAUCGGCGCUGUCUGGGCAUCUGCGCUGCGGCUGGAGGUACGGCUGGUCCUCUGCCUGCUGUCCACUGCCACCUUGGCCUGCUCUUGCCACCCUGGUGCCGCGAACUCUGUGCCGCCUCUCCCUUCGCCCUGUCUUGGGACGGCCGGCGCUAAGAAUUCAUGCUAUGACCUUCGAUGCAGCCAGGAGGUGACACCAAACUCGAUCAGAGACCAUGCCACUGGUGAAGAGGUAUAUUGAGCCCUGCCUGGCCCAGUGAGGUUACUAGAGAAUUGGAAGAGACUCAAAUCAGCAUCCUGAACAUGGUUAUCAAACCAUUGUGAAGUCUUAAUUCCUGGGCAGCCUGAAACCUUGUCAUUGGUCAAGAGCAACACUAAGACCUACCUGUCACUUAUCCUGAGGCUUCCUGCCCAGUGGGUUCGCCAGCAAGCCAGAAUGAAGCAUCAUUGUCCUAGAUGUCCUUGUGAAGCCGUUAGGAAGUCUUGGCUGAAUUUUGAAGGAUAUCUUUGAAAAGUGUUUUAGAGAGUCUACCAGAUUUUCCAUGUGAGUGCACGUGCAGCAGAAGAGGGGGUCUUCUCAGUGAUUAAGGGGUUGCAAUUGCAAAUGCAUGCAGGGUCCAGAUGGGGUAAACGUUCAACUUUGGAAAUUCAGGCUCCUCUAUCUUCAGGUCUUCAGCCUCCAUUUGACUUUCCAUCUCGUCCACGGAGGAUUGCUGAGUUAAGUCAGGAAAGAAAAUGGCCGUGGACAGAGGGAGAAUUGAUCACCGUCUGUUCUUCAAAGACACUUCUGUGGCAGUGGUUGGGGCUACUAGUGCUCACUGCCCUGACAGAGACCUGCUUCCACAGGGUAGGAGGAGGGUGGGCUUUGGGUGUCAGACCUGCAUCUCCACUGUUAACUAUAGCCCUUUUGAAAGUCAGGCUUUACUCCUUUUCCAGGGACUCCUUUGGGAUUGAGAAGCUUUCUUUCUAUUUAUUGGCCUUCAGCCUUGACUUGGCCUUGAAGUUUCUAAAUUUCUAGCUCACAAGUUUUUUCAGGUUGAAGUUAAAUAUACUUAAUUCACGUACGUGUGAGUCACUUCAGUUGUAAUGUGCGGAAGUCCUUAGACCAGGCACAGUUUCUUACCUGGCCACAUGGCCCUAGUGAGAAUAGCAUCCCUGUGUCAGGGCUGAAACAGCGAAGCAAAGUGACUGAUAGACCCAGAUUGCUGGAGCCCAGAUUCAGAAGCAGCUAACAUUUAUUGGGUAAUUCCUGUGUGUUAGACACUGUUCAUGUAUUAAAGCAUUUAAUACAGUAACCCUUUCCUUUAGGUGCUGUGAGUAGUCUUACCCAAAUUUUACAGAUGGGGUAAUUACAGCUUACACAGUCUAGAUGACCUGUCAAGGGUCACACAGCAAGUCAUUUGCAAAGCAGGGAUUUGUACCCAGGUGAUCAUACUGCAGGGUCUACACUCUUAGCCCCUACAUUCAAGGCCCGUCAUAGAUUGCUGUUUCACUCUCCUUCCCCUGGCAUGUGCAGUUAUUCCUUCUUGCCCCCUUUCAUUUAUCUGAGUCUAAUGCUCUCUUUUUUUUUUUAAAUUGUCCUUCUCACCUCCACCUUCUCCAACCCUUCAUAUUCAGAGUUUAACCACCUGGCUGGGAAAGCUGGCAGGCUUGCUUAUACAAUAAAUAAAUCCUCAUAAAA